AUUGAACGCUGGCGGCAGGCUUAACACAUGCAAGUCGAGCGGAGCGAGGGUGCUUGCACCUUAGCUUAGCGGCGGACGGGUGAGUAAUGCUUAGGAAUCUGCCUAUUAGUGGGGGACAACAUUCCGAAAGGAAUGCUAAUAACGCAUACGCCCUACGGGGGAAAGCAGGGGAUCUUCGGACCUUGCGCUAAUAGAUGAGCCUAAGUCGGAUUAGCUAGUUGGUGGGGUAAAGGCCUACCAAGGCGACGAUCUGUAGCGGGUCUGAGAGGAUGAUGCGGCACGCUGGUACGAAGACACGACCCAGACUACUGCGGGAGGGAGCAGUGGGGAAUAUUGGACAAUGGGCGGAAGCCUGAUCCAGCCAUGACGGGUGUGUGAAGAAUGCCUUUUGGUUGUAAAGCACUUUAAGCGAGGAGGAGGCUCUUAAGGUUAAUACCCUUGAUGAGUGGACGUUACUCGCAGAAUAAGCACCGGCUAACUCUGUGCCAGCAGCCGCCGUAAGAC
rnacentral:rRNA from 1 species